UACGGAGGGUGCGAGCGUUAAUCGGAAUCACUGGGCGUAAAGCGUACGUAGGUGGCAAGGUCAGUCAGGCGUGAAAGCCCUCGGCUCAACCGAGGAAUUGCGUUUGAUACUACUUUGCUAGAGUCUCGGAGAGGUUGGCGGAAUUCCAGGUGUAGGAGUGAAAUCCGUAGAUAUCUGGAGGAACACCAGUGGCGAAGGCGGCCAACUGGACGAGUACUGACACUGAGGUACGAAAGCGUGGGUAGCAAACAGG
rnacentral:rRNA from 1 species